AUCCAAUAUGCAUUGUCUGUCAUUAUUGGGGGGAUAAGUGGGUAGUCUUUCUUUUAGUCGCACCACAUUCCCCGCUACGUACAUACAUGUAUUUUUAAUACAAAGUCAUGUGUUGUUUAAGACUUUCAGCAGCAUCGCUAGUCACCAAGAAAGAGGGAGAUUUACAUUGAGAUAUACACAUUAGAGAAAUAUGUCUUUGUAUAAAAAGAUUCUACAAAAAUUGUGCGUGGAACGGAGGCGCAGCAUGUAGUCCUGUGGAGCUGCCUUCACUGGCAACAAAAGCAGGAAGCUUUUUGCAACAAAAAACAAACGCUCUCGAUGAGUCAUUCAGGAAAUGUAAACCUCAAUAUAUCCUGUAGAGAAGGAAGGCAAUCUGAAUUAUAUUCCGCACAUAAUAUUAGUAUGUAGAACAGGCCUGAAGAUAAUCCACAGAAUGAUAUAGAGAUUAAUUACUAAAACAUGGUGGACUCUAACAAAGAAGCUGGUUAUUAAAACCCAAGUUGAGAAGCUUAAACUGAGAGGUUGAGUCCUAAAAGUCCUGUAAUGUUCUGUAAUGAGUUUUCCCUUUUCUUUGUCUCUGCUUCAAAUUGACUGUUGGGAAAGGGCUGCUGGACGGAGGCUGAGUGCCAAAUAGACAAGGUGAAUGGCAGCUUCAUUUAUCCAGGGCUGUAAAACACAACUCACACUGACAGACAGAUACAGACUCAGAGCAAUGUUAGUCUACACUCAGCAGCUUCAUGAUCACACAUAGCUCUAGCCGACAGACACAUAAUUCCCUGGGAGAGACACACUCACAGUCUGAGUCCAAAGGCAAACGUUCCAGAAAGAUUUAGCUUCAGACAUUACUUUUGUCCAAGAUGAGCUAUUAUCAUACUUUUAUUGUAAUGCACCAACACAUUCUGCCGUGCUGCUCAUGGUUACAAUUGGUACAAGUAAAAAGACAAAGGUACAAUACAUCUAACAGACAAAAUAAAAUUUGACAAACAAAUAUAAGAGGAGUUGAGGAUCCUAUUUCUAUGGGAACGAACAAUCUAGAUGGAUCUUCAGUUUCACCUCAUUAAAAUAUAACUUGAAUUUAGAGUUGUGUUUCUUGCAUAAUAUGUAACAUAAUCAUAUAUAAAAUGUAACAAGACUGCACAUUAACACAGUGAUCGCUGCAUCUCCCUUGAAACAACCAUCAGCUGAAAACUUUUGGAAGUGGGUUCCAACUCGCCCUGCAGUUCAUUAUAAGCAGCGGCUCCUGUGUGGUCAAUGUCUCCAGCUAUCGGGCAGCAAUGAGGACUGUACAGCACUGUCUCACUGUCGAGAACAUUCAGAGACGAUCUGCACAGCAGCUCUGUAACUACAGCUUCACUCAUCCAUGGCUGUUUAACAAUCCUCGCACUUAGCCAGGGCAUUAUAAUAGGAAACCCACUAAAAGCUGUGCUCAGAGCCCCAUCAUAUGAUAAAAAUGUCCUGUUUGUAGUCUUUUCCUGGUGUCCUUUACAUUGGAUCUUCCCCUGGUCACAAUUUGUGUUCACUGUGUUCUCUCUCACGUCUCUGCUGGUGAAUGUUUAAUGUCUGAGCUUUCAGUCUAGUGUGAGAGUUGAAGCUGGCAGGGACUUCCCCUAAACCUCGCCUCUCCUGAAAGCAAGCAUAGCAGUCACAGAAUAACAGCAUAAAUCUGCUCCGGAGCUUCAUUCCCUGCUCCGGAGCUUCUCUUUAACUUUAAUAUUUCUCUUUAACUUGACGUCUUAUGUGCAGAUUUCAAUAUACUGGGGUGUGAUCUACGGAUCAUGCUACCAUACUAAUGAAUAUCACAUAGAGGUUCUGAACCACAAACUGGCUACUGUUAAAUGGCUGACAGAGUGAUUGUAUAUGUAUACCAUGGAUAACUGUAUAUUUAAUGGAAACAUAUGUCUACAUUGCGGCCAGCGUACCUUUGAUUUCGUUUUAUCACAAAUGCAAAAAUUCAAUAAACACAGAUUUACAACAACUACAAAAAGAAUU